rnacentral:lncRNA from 1 species
UGAAAUUAAAUUAUAUACUUUUAUUAUAAUAAAAAUUAUAAUUUCAUCAUUUUAAUAAUUUAUAUCUUUAUAAUUUUUAAAAGAUUUAAUCAAAUUUUUAUCACUCGAGGAAGAGGGGGACAAAGUGCAAUUUUACCAUAUUAAAUUAAUAUUUUAUAAAUUAUAAAGGGUUUAAAUGAAAAAUUUUCUAUUUUAAUGGACAAAGGCUUUGCUACUAUUUGAAAUGUUGUUCACUAGGUAAUUGAUCGAACUUCCAACAAUCGAAUGUAUUGUCCUCUUAUCAAGAUUUUGUCCCCAACCCUCGUAGAGAGUUGUGUACGAUUCACGAAGGGAGACACCUCGAUUGAUGGAUGUAGACCCAAUUUUUAGCCCGGGCCCAUACAUAUACAAAAAAUAAAACAAAAAACAGCAAUCCUAAUUUUUUUAACCAGCCCAAUUGCAUAAAAUAACCCAAAUAAUUUUGGCCCGUUUACGUAAGCCCAAUACUCAUGCUCUAACCUAAACAAUUAGAAAACUGAAAUCUUAAAUCCCUAAAAGCUUCAUUCGCACCAUAAUCUUCAGCCACGAUCACUCCCGUCACGCACGCACGCCCUGCUCCACGUUCGCAUCCACAUCUUCACGACCUGCAAGUUGAGCAAAAAUAGCCAAAAACCGCUUGUAUUUUGGUUAUAAAAGCCUUCGUUUUUAAGUGUUUAGGGGUUUUUUUUUGGAAAAAUAGAAGAUAGAAACAAUAUCAACACACACAGAGAGAUAUUGCAACCAUAUUUGUUGAAGGUGAUUAAAAGCCUCAUUUUUCUUUCGAUUUUAUUUUCCUUUUCUUUGAUUUUUUUAUCUAUUGUACGUAAAUAAUAAGAGAAAUGAGGAAAAGCUUACCGGAGUCACUGUCGGAGGGCCUUCGCUGGGUGCGAUUGGAGGGUAGUGGUGCUAGUAUUUCGGCGAGGAAGCAAGGGGAGAGUGAGAGAUUGGAGAGCAUGAGGGUUUUUUUUAAACAAAAAUCAAAUGGUUUUCAAAAUAGUUUUUUAAAUUUUAGUAAUAAGUUUUAAGCAGUAGCAUUGGGAAG